rnacentral:rRNA from 1 species
GUGGGGAAUCUUAGACAAUGGGCGCAAGCCUGAUCUAGCCAUGCCGCGUGAGUGAUGAAGGCCCUAGGGUUGUAAAGCUCUUUCAGCUGGGAAGAUAAUGACGGUACCAGCAGAAGAAGCCCCGGCUAACUCCGUGCCAGCAGCCGCGGUAAUACGGAGGGGGCUAGCGUUGUUCGGAAUUACUGGGCGUAAAGCGCGCGUAGGCGGACUGAAAAGUUGGGGGUGAAAUCCCGGGGCUCAACCUCGGAACUGCCUUCAAAACUAUCAGUCUGGAGUUCGAGAGAGGUGAGGGGAAUUCCGAGUGUAGAGGUGAAAUUCGUAGAUAUUCGGAGGAACACCAGUGGCGAAGGCGGCUCACUGGCUCGAUACUGACGCUGAGGUGCGAAAGCGUGGGGAGCAAACAGGAUUAGAAACCCGAGUAGUCC